rnacentral:rRNA from 1 species
GCUUGUCUCAAAGAUUAAGCCAUGCAUGUCUAAGUGUAAAUAAGUCUAUACUGUGAAACUGCGAAUGGCUCAUUAAAUCAGUUAUCGUUUAUUUGAUGAUCUCUUACUACUUGGAUAACCGUAGUAAUUCUAGAGCUAAUACGUGCGCACAACCCGACUUCUGGAAGGGGUGUAUUUAUUAGAUGGAAACCAAUGCAGGGCAACCUGGAAUAUGGUGAUUCAUAAUAACUCGCGGAUCGGUUUACCGAUGCAUCAUUCAAGUUUCUGCCCUAUCAGCUUUGGAUGGUAGGGUAUUGGCCUACCAUGGCUUUAACGGGUAACGGAGAAUUAGGGUUCGAUUCCGGAGAGGGAGCCUGAGAAAUGGCUACCACAUCCAAGGAAGGCAGCAGG